UACGUAGGGUGCGAGCGUUGUCCGGAAUUAUUGGGCGUAAAGAGCUUGUAGGCGGUUUGUCGCGUCUGCUGUGAAAUUUCGGGGCUCAACCCCGAACUUGCAGUGGGUACGGGCAGACUAGAGUGUGGUAGGGGAGACUGGAAUUCCUGGUGUAGCGGUGAAAUGCGCAGAUAUCAGGAGGAACACCGGUGGCGAAGGCGGAUCUCUGGGCCUUACCUGACGCUCAGGCGCGAAAGCUAGGGGAGCGAACUGG
rnacentral:rRNA from 1 species